UGCAGAAAAGCAAGGAAAGAUAUUCCAAAAUUACCAACAGAAUUCCAAGCACUUAAUUUAAAAUAUUUUUACACCAGCAAGACAUUAGUGGCCAAAUAAUAACACAGUAAGAUCUUUAAAAACAAUGGUGUUUAUGUGGCAAUGACCAGAAAAUAUGAAAUGUAUUUCAGAAAAAUUGAAAACACACAGUUUCACUGGAGGUGGCAUUACUGGAGGUUGCAGCACUUUUCAAACUCAAAAACAUUUUAUUUGUACAAACGGCAUGUUAAGUACUCUGGAAACAAACUUGAGGAAUAUGUAAAGACACUAAGAACUUACAGUCUUUUUUCUGCAAGUACUUCACAUAGCUCAAACAUCAAAGAAUAUUUCACAUACUACUUCAAAACAAUUACUCUCAUUUCCUUCUCAUUUUAUAAACAGCCAAGGUGAUCACAGCUAAAAAAAAAAGCAAAACUGUCUUUUUUUCCAGAUUGACUUCAUCUGUUUGGCACUACAUUACACACUGCUCAGUCUGCUGGUUUUGUUAUACAACCAUUUGAUCAGUUGUUCACCCAGCAAACAGGGUGAAAACCUUCAGACACAAAAAUUGUUAGUAACUAUGAAAAUUACACUGGACUUGGAAUUGAGUGUUACAUCUGAAGCUAUUUUAACAGCAAACAGACUGGAAGUCAGUGCUAACUGGUGAAGGUUUGGAAUCUCAUGGAAGAUGGAUGCCUGCAAUCUCCACAAGCUCAAAAAGGAAGCAGCUAAUUUCAGAGUGAAGAAUUGAAUGCAUGAAUUGCCUUAUCUGCAGCAAGAAAUCAGGCUGUCUGUAGUUUCCUGUAGUUAUCAAGAGAAACAAUCAUAGGCAAAAGACAGCCUUUGCAGAAACGGUGGCCACACGGCGUCUGCACCGCCUCCCGGAGAGCCAUCAAGCAGAUGGGGCACUCGUAUUUACUCUCCAGCGGCGGGUCGAACUCCACGUCGUAGCCCUGCGUCUCGUCGGCGAAGGAGGCGG